rnacentral:lncRNA from 1 species
AAAACUUAGGGGGUGUUCUCUUUGUGUUUCAGUUUUGUGUUUUGAGUUUUGAAUUCAUUUUGAGUUUUGUGUUUUGAGUGUUUGUUUUGAAAUUGUUGAAAAUGCGUUCUUUUUGUUAGUUUCUCAAAACAAAAAAAAAUGAAUUUUUUUUUUAAAAACUUUGAGAAUCACCACAACACCACCUCAAAAAAAAAAUUAUUUUUAUUUUUUUUUUAAAUUUUGAGAAUCACCACACCACCUCCUCAAAAAAAAAGUAAUAAUAAAAUAAAAUAAAAAAAUAGAGGGUGUUUCCCGUGUUUUCAAUUUUUUCAAGUUUUACACUGAAAACGCCCAAAACGACAAAAAAGUCGUUUUGUGUUUUCUUCACAAAUUUUUUUUUCGUUUUCGAAAAUGGGAAAGAGA